GCCAUGCUAAACCUCGAAUCAUAAAUCCCCAAUACGGCAUAUGCAAUUGCUCUUAAAUCUCUUGCAAUUGACACCCUAUGCUGUAAAAAGAUGAGGUUUGUUCUUUGAUUGCUAGAUACUAGCAUGUAGCCCUUGAUCAUUGUCAAAAGGUUGAUUGCCACCACCAUCAUCAUUGACCAUCGGAAUGAGGAUGAAAAAUCUUUUCUCCGAUAUCACCUGACGCAGCGUGUAGCAUAGAAAAUGAUCGAUACAUGAUCAAACCCUUGAAAAUAAACAAGAUCUAAUCCAAGACUUUAAGAUAAAUAAGACUUAAUCCAAAGUCUAAAAAUAAAUAAAGCAAACACAACUUUAGAAAGAAAAAAACUUCAUUGAACAAUUAUGAAAGACUUGUACAUAAUAAAAAUAGAUGGGGUAUUUACAGAAUUUUAAAUCCUAAUCUAAGU
rnacentral:misc_RNA from 1 species